CUCUGGUCUAUAGUAGUACCACUAUAUAGGGAAUAGGGCUCUGGUCUAAAGUAGUUGCACUAUAUAGGGAAUAGGGCUCUGGUCUAUAGUAGUACCACUAUAUAGGGAAUAGGGCUCUGGUCUAUAGUAUACCACUAUAUAGGGAAUAGGGCUCUGGUCUAUAGUAGUACCACUAUAUAGGGAAUAGGGCUCUGGUCUAUAGUAGUGCACUAUAUAGGGCUCUGGUCUAAAGUAGUGUACUAUAUAGGGCCAUGGUCUAAAGUAGUGUACUAUAUAGGGCCCUGGUCUAAAGUAGUGCACUAUAUAGGGAAUAGGGC
ensembl:lncRNA